AAGUGUAUAAACAUGAUUAAUAUAAAUAAUUUUACGUGUAACUUAUUUUUCAAUUGGUCUUAUUAUUGUUGUAUUCAAUGUUAUCUUAUUGUUAGAUGACCACGUUUAACGUACUUAAACGUAUAAUCCUAAGACAGCAUAUAACACAUGUAUUUAUGACAGUGGUGAAUUUUCUGUUGCAGCCUUCUGCCACAUCGACGUAAUUCGAAUAUACUCAUCACUUGGGUGUGCACGGGGAGGACAAACAAUGGAAGUAUUAAAGCUUGAAGUUAAGAAGUACGGACGUAAUGAAGCGAUCAAUCGACAAGAGGUCGAUGCACCAGCAAUGUGUAAUUGGAUUGACUUGGACCGAUCUUUGCCGGAGGAUGUCGACCAGGAUGCGACCAGCAUCACACGCGGCAACGGCAAAGAAUCGAUCAACAUAAUCUUCGAGAACAUCACAUAUACUGUGAACCUCGGCUUCAGGAAAGGAAAAAAAGAGAUUUUACACGGAAUUAAUAGAAGGCUUCCCAGCAAACAGUUGAUCGCUCUGAUGGGUCCAUCUGGUACAGGGAAGUCCACGUUAUUCGAUGUACUCUCUGGCUUCCGCGUAACCGGAGUGGAUGGUACUAUAUUUGUCAACGGUCAUGUCCGGAAUCUCAACUCUUUCCGGAAAAAAACAGGAUUGCAAAAAUCGAAGGAAAAUCCUACGGAGGAAAAAUAAGAAACAUUAAAAAAUUUUCAUUAAUUGACACGCUGUGCCAAAAAUUAUCAUGGACGGGGAAAAAAAACUCCGUAGCAUUAAAGGACACAGCAUUUGCUAGUGUAAUUAUAGAUUUCGUUACGAAUGCGGACUCGUGUAGUAUACAUGAUGCUACACGAGUAAGUCAAGAGUGGUUAAGACACGCUGGAGAUCGCGUAAAUUAUUCGAAAAAAAAUAAUAUAGUAGCUGACUGCAAUCUUGUAGCUUGACUGCGACAUCGUCGCGGGAAGACGUAAAGCCUACAACCAGAGUCCUUAUUGGUAAUGUUAUCGAGAGCACAUGCGAUUAACGGCGCGUAGAAGGUAUCUGGAGAAGCAUCGGAAGCUGGAGAUUGAGUCGACUAGUUCGCAGAGAACGAGCACUGAGAAUAUUAUAUUCAAGUAAAAAAGGACUGUAACUUGUAAUAUAAGUGAACUCGUUUCAAACAAAAACGCGAAAGUUGUAUAACGACGAGUUGUAAAUCUUGUAUAAAACUUCGUUUCGCAUGUAACGAGCAGGUCUCCGAAGUUUGUGAGGUUUGAUGGUAAAUCUUCUCAGGGCAUUUAAUAAUACUGAAACUGACAAUUUUUUCAUAGAGUUCAGAUUUGGAUACUAUAGGCGGUAAUUUACGCGAUCAAGUGCCCGCGUUAGAAGUGGCUCCUACAAUUUUAUGCUAAAAUAUCCCAAAUCUCUUGUAAACCUAAUUUAUUAAUUAUAAUUUAUCUAAUAUAUUAUGGUUCUUUAUUAUUUAGUUCUUAUAUUUUUUAGUUCUAGUUAUGGUUCUUUAUUAUUAAUUAGAUAUUAUUAUAAAUAUCUAAUUUAUUAUGGUUCUUAUCAUUGUUCAGACUGCAUUGCUCGAUAUAACUAUUAAAAAUCUAUCGUCUGUCGCUUGCGUCGUGAGGCGAAUUAAUCUUGACUAGGAAAGCUUAUUGCAAAACUUCACGAGCUUCCGAGCUCUAGUAUAUACGUAUAGUAUACAAUGACUAUAGUAUAUAUAAUAAUAUUAUAAUAAGAAUUAUAA
rnacentral:misc_RNA from 1 species